AUUGAACGCUGGCGGCAUGCUUUACACAUGCAAGUCGAACGGUAACAGGCCUUCGGGUGCUGACGAGUGGCGAACGGGUGAGUAAUGCAUCGGAACGUGCCCAGAGGUGGGGGAUAACGCAGCGAAAGCUGUGCUAAUACCGCAUGUGAUCUGAGGAUGAAAGCGGGGGACCAGGCAGCAAUGUUUGGCCUCGCGCCUUUGGAGCGGCCGAUGUCAGAUUAGGUAGUUGGUGGGGUAAGGGCCUACCAAGCCGACGAUCUGUAGCUGGUCUGAGAGGACGACCAGCCACACUGGGACUGAGACACGGCCCAGACUCCUACGGGAGGCAGCAGUGGGGAAUUUUGGACAAUGGGCGCAAGCCUGAUCCAGCAAUGCCGCGUGCGGGAAGAAGGCCUUCGGGUUGUAAACCGCUUUUGUACGGAACGAAAAGGCUCUGGCUAAUACCUGGGGCUGAUGACGGUACCGUAAGAAUAAGCACCGGCUAACUACGUG
rnacentral:rRNA from 1 species